rnacentral:rRNA from 1 species
CGGCCUGAUGUGUGCACAGGGAUUGCCUCAGUAACGGCGAGUGAAGCGGCAACAGCUCAAAUUUGAAAUCUGGCCCUAGGCCCGAGUUGUAAUUUGCAGAGGAUGCUUUUGGUGCGGUGCCUUCCAAGUUCCCUAGAACGGGACGCCAGAGAGGGUGAGAGCCCCGUACAGUUGGACACCAAGCCUUUGUAAAGCUCCUUCGACGAGUCGAGUAGUUUGGGAAUGCUGCUCAAAAUGGGAGGUAUAUUUCUUCUAAAGCUAAAUACCGGCCAGAGACCGAUAGCGCACAAGUAGAGUGAUCGAAAGAUGAAAAGCACUUUGAAAAGAGGGUUAAACAGCACGUGAAAUUGUUAAAAGGGAAGCGCUUGUGACCAGACUUGCGUCCGGUGAAUCACCCAGCUCUCGCGGCUGGGGCACUUCGCCGGCUCAGGCCAGCAUCAGCUCGCUGUCGGGGACAAAAGCUUCGGGAACGUAGCUCUCUUCGGGGAGUGUUAUAGCCUGUUGCAUAAUACCCUUCGGCGGGCUGAGGUACGCGCUCCGCAAGGAUGCUGGCAUAAUGGUCAUCAGCGACCCGUCUUGAAACACGGACCAAGGAGUCAACCUUAUGUGCGAGUGUUCGGGUGUCAAACCCCUACGCGUAAUGAAAGUGAACGCAGGUGAGAGCUUCGGCGCAUCAUCGACCGAUCCUGAUGUUCUCGGAUGGAUUUGAGUAAGAGCAUAUAGGGUUGGACCCGAAAGAAGGUGAACUAUGCGUGUAUAGGGUGAAGCCAGAGGAAACUCUGGUGGAGGCUCGCAGCGGUUCUGACGUGCAAAUCGAUCGUCAAAUAUGCGCAUGGGGGCGAAAGACUAAUCGAACCUUCUAGUAGCUGGUUUCCGCCGAAGUUUCCCUCAGAUAGCAGUGUUGAACUCAGUUUUAUGAGGUAAAGCGAAUGAUUAGGGACUCGGGGCGCUAUAUUGCCUUCAUCCAUUCUCAAACUUUAAAUAUGUAAGAAGCCCUUGUUACUUAUUGAACGUGGGGCAUUCGAAUGUAUCAACACUAGUGGGCCAUUUUGGGUAGCAGAACUGGCGAUGCGGGAUGAACCGAACGCGAGUAGUGCAGAGUAGACGCUCAUCAGAACACACAAAAGUGUAGUACAUCUGGACGCAAGACGGGUGGCAUGGAGUCGAAUCGCUAAGGACUGGUGUAACAACUUCACCUUGCGAACGU